AAAAAGAUAAAUCCUGGGUUUCCGUAUCUAACGUUUGACCGUCCGUCUUAUUUGAAAAAAAUAUGAAAAAAAUUAAAAAGAUAAGUCACGCAUAAAAUAUUAAUCAUGUUUUAUCAUCUAACAACAAUGAAAAUACUAAUUAUAAAAAAAAUUCAUAUAAAACGGACAAUGAAACGUUGGACACUAAAACACAGGAUUUGUCUUUUU
rfam:Oryza sativa Japonica Group DNA, chromosome 2, cultivar: Nipponbare, complete sequence.